UACGUAGGGGGCAAGCGUUAUCCGGAUUUACUGGGUGUAAAGGGAGCGUAGACGGCUGUGCAAGUCUGAAGUGAAAGGCAAGGGCUCAACCUUUGGACUGCUUUGGAAACUGUGCAGCUAGAGUGUCGGAGAGGCAAGUGGAAUUCCUAGUGUAGCGGUGAAAUGCAUAGAUAUCACGCAGAACCCCGAUUGCGAAGGCAGCCUUCCGGCGCCCUACUGACGCUGAGGCACGAAAGUGCGGGGAUCGAACAGG
rnacentral:rRNA from 1 species